rnacentral:rRNA from 1 species
GUCCUACGGGAGGCAGCAGUGGGGAAUUUUGGACAAUGGGGGCAACCCUGAUCCAGCAAUGCCGCGUGUGUGAAGAAGGCCUUCGGGUUGUAAAGCACUUUUGUCCGGAAAGAAAACUUCGUCCCUAAUAUGGAUGGAGGAUGACGGUACCGGAAGAAUAAGCACCGGCUAACUAUGUGCCAGCAGCCGCGGUAAUACGUAGGGUGCGAGCGUUAAUCGGAAUUACUGGGCGUAAAGCGUGCGCAGGCGGUUUGUUAAGACCGAUGUGAAAUCCCCGGGCUUAACCUGGGAACUGCAUUGGUGACUGGCAGGCUUUGAGUAUGGCAGAGGGGGGUAGAAUUCCACGUGUAGCAGUGAAAUGCGUAGAGAUGUGGAAGAAAAAAGAGGGAAAAGGGAGCCCCCUG